AACGAACGCUGGCGACAUGCCUAACACAUGCAAGUCGAACGAGAUCUUCGGGUCUAGUGGCGCACGGGUGCGUAACGCGUGGGAAUCUGCCCUUUGGUUCGGAAUAACGGUUGGAAACGACUGCUAAUACCGGAUGAUGACGAAAGUCCAAAGAUUUAUCGCCAGAGGAUGAGCCCGCGUAGGAUUAGCUAGUUGGUGUGGUAAAGGCGCACCAAGGCGACGAUCCUUAGCUGGUCUGAGAGGAUGAUCAGCCACACUGGGACUGAGACACGGCCCAGACUCCUACGGGAGGCAGCAGUGGGGAAUAUUGGACAAUGGGCGAAAGCCUGAUCCAGCAAUGCCGCGUGAGUGAUGAAGGCCUUAGGGUUGUAAAGCUCUUUUACCCGGGAUGAUAAUGACAGUACCGGGAGAAUAAGCUCCGGCGAACUCCGUGCCAGCAGCCGCCGUAA
rnacentral:rRNA from 1 species